CCUANGGGGGGCAGCAGUGGGGAAUUUUGCGCAAUGGGGGAAACCCUGACGCAGCAACGCCGCGUGAGUGAUGAAGGCCUUCGGGUCGUAAAGCUCUUUUAGUGGGGAAGAAACCGCCCGGGCUAACACCUCGGGUGAAUGACGGUACCCACAGAAAAAGUUCCGGCUAACUACGUGCCAGCAGCCGCGGUAAUACGUAGGGAGCAAGCGUUGUUCGGAAUUAUUGGGCGUAAAGAGCGCGUAGGCGGUUCGGUAAGUCUGAUGUGAAAUCCCGGAGCUCAACUCCGGAACUGCAUUGGAUACUGCCGGGCUUGAGUGUGGGAGAGGAGAGUGGAAUUCCCAGUGUAGAGGUGAAAUUCGUAGAUAUUGGGAGGAACACCCGUGGCGAAGGCGGCUCUCUGGACCACAACUGACGCUGAGGCGCGAAAGCUAGGGUAGCAAACGGGAUUAGAUACCCUUNUANUC
rnacentral:rRNA from 1 species